rnacentral:rRNA from 1 species
UACAGAGGGGGCAAGCGUUGUUCGGAAUUACUGGGCGUAAAGGGCGCGUAGGCGGCCUGUUAAGUCGAACGUGAAAUCCCCGGGCUCAACCCGGGAACUGCGUCCGAUACUGGCAGGCUUGAAUUCGGGAGAGGGAUGUGGAAUUCCAGGUGUAGCGGUGAAAUGCGUAGAUAUCUGGAGGAACACCGGUGGCGAAGGCGGCGUCCUGGACCGGCAUUGACGCUGAGGCGCGAAAGCCAGGGGAGCAAACGGG